rnacentral:misc_RNA from 1 species
UCCGGUUUGUCACCGGCAGUCUCAGUAAAGUGCCCAACUCAAUGAUGGCAAUUACCGACAAGGGUUGCGCUCGUUGCGGGACUUAACCCAACAUCUCACGACACGAGCUGACGACAGCCAUGCAGCACCUGUGUACCCAUUCUCUUGCGAGCACACCCAAAUCUCUUUGGGCUCUGGGCCAUGUCAAGGGUAGGUAAGGUUUUUCGCGUUGCAUCGAAUUAAUCCACAUCAUCCACCGCUUGUGCGGGUCCCCGUCAAUUCCUUUGAGUUUUAAUCUUGCGACCGUACUCCCCAGGCGGUCAACUUCACGCGUUAGCUGCGUUACCAAGAAAAUUAAUCCCCGACAACCAGUUGACAUCGUUUAGGGCGUGGACUAC